GACGAACGCUGGCGGCGUGCUUAACACAUGCAAGUCGAACGGUGAACGAGGGAGCUUGCUCCCUCCGGAUCAGUGGCGAACGGGUGAGUAACACGUGAGCAAUCUGCCCCGAACUCUGGGAUAAGCGUUGGAAACGACGUCUAAUACCGGAUACGACGCGGAGGGCAUCCUCUCCGCGUGGAAAGAACUUCGGUUCGGGAUGAGCUCGCGGCCUAUCAGCUUGUUGGUGAGGUAACGGCUCACCAAGGCGACGACGGGUAGCCGGCCUGAGAGGGUGACCGGCCACACUGGGACUGAGACACGGCCCAGACUCCUACGGGAGGCAGCAGUGGGGAAUAUUGCAUAAUGGGCGCAAGCCUGAUGCAGCAACGCCGCGUGAGGGACGACGGCCUUCGGGUUGUAAACCUCUUUUAGCAGGGAAGAAGCGAAAGUGACGGUACCUGCAGAAAAAGCACCGGCUAACUACGUG
rnacentral:rRNA from 1 species